ensembl:lncRNA
ACAUACCCAGGGAGGGCAUCUGGGCUGCAUCUCCUCCUUCUGGUUCCAGCUGGCUCCGCUCCCCUGACGGCGGCUGUCCCCCAGGGACAAGCCAGGGCCACUGCCCGGGAACGCUCAGGUUACAGCUGUGCCCUGGCCUCAAACGCGGCCUCUCCAUGGCCCUGCCUGAUAGAGUUACCAAAUGCCAAGUGUGACAGAUUCUGGGAGGAGGACAGAGUGGAAACCAGAGCUGAUCCCAAAGGCUUGUCUUUUAUGCCCCAAGCCCACUUGGUGACAAUGGCUGCACCUGCCAUUUCCAGAACCUCCUCUUCUGGGGGAUUUAAAAAUACCUCGACUCCAGGGGGCUUCGUGACCCUGGGACAUUUUUCUUUUUAAUGUACAUGAUGGACUGUCACAUAAAAGUAGUUGGCCCUUUUCGUAGUAACGAAGGCCCUUCUUUGUGGGUGUUCCCCGCGGGCCUUGGGAAACCGUUAUACCCAGAGCACCUCACCUGAGAGUUCCCUCUGCUGCUGGCUUUGUGUUCCUCCAAAGCACCUGGUCUGGGACUCUGCCCAGAAUGGGCGGCCUCGUCUACACUGCUGAUCCUGCCCCUGGAAACAGGCUUCACCAAGGAGCCCUGUGCCGUCAGUCCACAGACUUCAUGGAGAUUGCGGGAUCCUUCCGCAGCUGAGAAUGAGAAGUCUUUUAGGCUCUCUGCCCAGCUCUGAUCUGCAUCCUGCCUCCUUGAUUCCUCAACUCCGUGCAGCUCAGGUCCCACUCUGGCUUCCUGGCAUCACGCUCACCCCUGCGGGGGGGAAGGAGAGAUCCUGGUCCCUGAUGGAAAUUCUUUCCAUUUUAAUGAGACUCUAAACGACAUGCACAUCAUCUAGGUGCUAUCUCACCUCCCCCAACAGGUAUUUACCUCCUUAUGAACAGAGCCUUCUGUGUCAUCUGCUGUCACUGGUGCUCCACCCAGCAUGCUCAGCCUGGUGGCCUGCUCUGGGGUGCCCACCCUGUCCGCGAGCUACGAGAAAAGACCCUGUUAAAAGACAGGCCAGGUGGGGUCAUGGGGGAUAGUUUCCUGAACAUCUCCCCCCAUCCUCGGCUCCUCCACUUGCUCGCCUGUUGGUCUCAUGAUCAAAAUUUAGUCAGGACCAGUCUCUUGGUUGGUGGAACCUUAGAUUCAACAGCAGUCUCCUGACAAGAGAACAGCCCUUCUUCUCAAGGGCCAUAGAAGAGAGUGUGCCUCACUCCCUGGGCCUGGCAGGCUGCCUGAGGCAGAGAGGGGCAGGGCUUCUGAGCCCUCCUCAGGCUUUAUCCUGCCUGGCCUCCUCCUCAUGGGGCUCCCCCAGCAUCAUAAAGACCGCUGUGGGCAGGACUGCAUGCAGCCCUGACAUCCUCUGAUGCAAGGCAGCUGAUUGGAUGCUUCACUUCCUGCCUAAAACCACCACCCUCUCCUCCCCUCCUCCACCCCUUUAAAAAAAAAAACCCAAAAAAA